UACCUUUUACUGGAGAAUAGCCUUUAGAAAUGAAGAUUAAUGCUCCAUGGUAUUGAGUUUUGGCAUCAAGACUUAAUUAAAGAUUUAUUGGUAAAAGAUGGCUAUGCGUCCUAUUAGUUAGAUGGUAAGGUAACGGCUUACCAUGACUUUGAUAGGUAGGGGUCCUGAGAGGGAGAUCCCCCACACUGGUACUGAGACACGGACCAGACUCCUACGGGAGGCAGCAGUGAGGAAUAUUGGGCAAUGGAGGCAACUCUGACCCAGCCAUGCCGCGUGAAGGAUGACUGCCCUAUGGGUUGUAAACUUCUUUUAUACAGGAAGAAACACUGGUAUGUAUACCAGCUUGACGGUACUGUAAGAAUAAGGACCGGCUAACUCCGUGCCAGCAGCCGCGGUAAUACGGAGGGUCCGAGCGUUAUCCGGAAUCAUUGGGUUUAAAGGGUCCGCAGGCGGUCGAUUAAGUCAGAGGUGAAAUCCCAUAGCUCAACUAUGGAACUGCCUUUGAUACUGGUUGACUUGAGUCAUAUGGAAGUAGAUAGAAUGUGUAGUGUAGCGGUGAAAUGCAUAGAUAUUACACAGAAUACCGAUUGCGAAGGCAGUCUACUACGUAUGUACUGACGCUGAGGGACGAAAGCGUGGGGAGCGAACAGGAUUAGAUACCCUGGUAGUCCACGCCGUAAACGAUGGAUACUAGUUGUUGGGCAUUAGCUCAGUGACUAAGCGAAAGUGAUAAGUAUCCCACCUGGGGAGUACGGUCGCAAGACUGAAACUCAAAGGAAUUGACGGGGGCCCGCACAAGCGGUGGAGCAUGUGGUUUAAUUCGAUGAUACGCGAGGAACCUUACCAGGGCUUAAAUGUAGUCUGACAGCUUUAGAGAUAGAGUUUUCUUCGGACAGAUUACAAGGUGCUGCAUGGUUGUCGUCAGCUCGUGCCGUGAGGUGUCAGGUUAAGUCCUAUAACGAGCGCAACCCCUGUCGUUAGUUGCCAUCAAGUAAAGUUGGGGACUCUAAUGAGACUGCCUACGCAAGUAGUGAGGAAGGUGGGGAUGACGUCAAAUCAUCACGGCCCUUACGUCCUGGGCCACACACGUGCUACAAUGGUAUGGACAAUGAGCAGCCAUCUGGCAACAGAGAGCGAAUCUAUAAACCAUAUCACAGUUCGGAUCGGAGUCUGCAACUCGACUCCGUGAAGCUGGAAUCGCUA
rnacentral:rRNA from 1 species